rnacentral:rRNA from 1 species
GUGAGUCAUCGAGUCUUUGAACGCACCUUGCGCUUAUCGGUGUUCCGAUGAGCAUGCCUGUUUGAGCGUCAUUAAAUUCUCAACCCCUCUCGAUUUGCUUCGAGAGGGAGCUUGGAUCGUGGAGGCUGCCGGAGACCUGUUUUUCAGGACUCGGGCUCCUCUGAAAUGUAUUGGCUUGCGGUCGACUUUCGACUGUGCAUGACAAGGCCUUUGGCGUGAUAAUGAUCGCCGCUCGCCGAAGUGCACGAACGAAUGGUCUCGUGCCUCUAAUCAGUCGACGCCUUUUCGAAGGCGUCUUCCUUAUUGACGUUUGACCUCAAAUCAGGUAGGACUACCCGCUGAACUUAA